rnacentral:rRNA from 1 species
GACGAACGCUGGCGGCGUGCUUAACACAUGCAAGUCGGACGCUGAAGCUUGGUGCUUGCACUGGGUGGAUGAGUGGCGAACGGGUGAGUAAUACGUGAGUAACCUGCCCUUGACUCUGGGAUAAGCCUGGGAAACUGGGUCUAAUACUGGAUAUGACAUGCCACUGCAUGGUGGUGUGUGGAAAGGGUUUUACUGGUUUUGGAUGGGCUCACGGCCUAUCAGCUUGUUGGUGGGGUAAUGGCCUACCAAGGCGACGACGGGUAGCCGGCCUGAGAGGGUGACCGGCCACACUGGGACUGAGACACGGCCCAGACUCCUACGGGAGGCAGCAGUGGGGAAUAUUGCACAAUGGGCGGAAGCCUGAUGCAGCGACGCCGCGUGAGGGAUGACGGCCUUCGGGUUGUAAACCUCUUUCAGCACGGAAGAAGCGAGAGUGACGGUACGUGCAGAAGAAGCGCCGGCUAACUACGUG